rnacentral:rRNA from 1 species
CCUACGGGAGGCAGCAGUAGGGAAUAUUGCUCAAUGGGGGAAACCCUGAAGCAGCAACGCCGCGUGGAGGAUGAAGGUUUUCGGAUCGUAAACUCCUGUUGUUAGAGAAGAUAAUGACGGUAUUUAACGAAUAAGCAUCGGCUAACUCCGUGCCAGCAGCCGCGGUAAUAUGGAGGGUGCAAGCGUUACUCGGACUCACUGGGCGGGAAGGGCGCGUAGGCGGGAUAGCAAGUCAGAUGUGAAAGCCUAUGGCUUAACCAUAGAACUGCAUUUGAAACUGUUAUUCUAGAGUAUGGGAGAGGUAGGUGGAAUUCUUGGUGUAGCGGUAAAAUCCGUAGAGAUCAAGAGGAAUACUCAUGGCGAAGGCGACCUGCUAGAACGUAACUGACGCUGAGGCGCGAAAGCGUGGGGAGCAAACAGGAUUAGAUACCCCUGUAGUC